GGUUGAUCCUGCCAGUAGUCAUAUGCUUGUCUCAAAGAUUAAGCCAUGCAUGUCUCAGUACAUACCGCCCUAAGGUGAAACCGCGAAGUGCUCAUUAAAUCAGUUACAGUUUACUGGAUAAUACUCCUUACAUGGACAACUGUGGUAAUUCUAGAGCUAAUACAUGAAUGAAACCUCCGAGCCUCACGGCAAGGAGUACAUUUAUUAGACCAAGACCAAUGGCCCUCAAAAGCCUCAAUCCUGGUGACUCUGAAUAACUGCGUUAAUCGCAUGGCCCACGAGCCGGCGAUAU
rnacentral:rRNA from 1 species